rnacentral:lncRNA from 1 species
AUUGAUUUGAGUCCUCUCUCUUUUUUGCUUGAUGAGUCUGCCUAGGGGGUUAUCAAUUUUGUUGAUCUUUUCAAAGAACCAGCUUUUCGUUUCACUGAUCUUUUCUAUGGUUUUCUUUGUUUCUAUUUCAACGGUUUCUGCUCUGAUCUUUAUGAUUUCUUUCCUUCUACUAACUUUAGGUUUUGUCUGUUCUUCUCUCUCAAGCUGCUUUAGAUGUAAAGUUAGCUUGUUUAUUUGGGCUUUUUCUUGUUUCCUGAGGUGGGCUUGUGUUGCUAUAAACUUUCCUCUUAGAACAGCUUUUGCUGCAUCCCAUAGGUUUUGGAGUGUUGUAUCUUUGUUGUCAUCUACUUCUAGGUAUUUUUUAAUUUCCGCUUUGAUUUCUUUAGUGAUCCAUUGGUUGUUUAGUAGCAUGUUGUUGAGUUUCCACGUGUUUGUGUUUUUUUGCAGUUUUUUUCUUGUUGUUGAUUUCCAGUCGUAUAGCGUUGUGGUCAGAAUAGAUGCUUGGUAUGAUUUCAGUUUUCUUAAAGUUACUGAGGUUGGAUCUGUAGCCCAGGAUAUGGUCAAUCUUAGAGAAUGUUCCAUGUGCACUUGAGAAGAAUGUGUACUCUGUUGUUUUUGGAUGAAAUGUCCUAUAAAUAUCUAUUAAGUCCAUCUGGUUUAAUGCUUCAUUCAGGGCCUGUGUUUCCUUAUUGAUUUUCUGUCUGGUUGAUCUGUCCAUUGCUGUAAGUGGGGUGUUAAAGUCCCCCACUAUGAUUGUGUUAUUGUCGAUUUCUCCUUUUAAGGUUGUUAGCAGUAGCCUUAUAUAUUGUGGUGAACCUGUGUUUGCGUAUAUAGAUAUUUAAAAUUGUUAUAUCAUCUUCUUGGAUUGAUCCUUUGAUCAUUAUGUAAUGUCCUUCUUUGUCCCUGAAAAUAUCCUUCAUUUUAAGGUCUAUUUUGUCUGAUAUGAGUAUUGCUACUCCAGCUUUCUUUUGAUCCCCGUUUGCAUGAAAUAUUUUCUUCCAUCCUCUCACUUUCAAUUUGUAUGUGUCCCUAGGAGUGAAGUGGGUCUCUUGAAGACAGCGUAUAUAUGGGUCUUGUUUUUGUAUCCAUUCAGCCAGUCUAUGUCUUUUGGCUGGGGCAUUUAGUCCAUUCACAUUUAAGGUAAUUAUUGAUAUGAAUGUUCUUAUUGACAUUUUAUUAGUAAGUUUGGAUUUGGUUUUUUUUUUUUUUUGCUCUUUUUCCUUUCCUUCUCCUCUUGUUCUUUUCUGCCUAUAGAAGUUCCUUUAGUAUUUGUUGUAAGGCUGGUUUAGUGUUGCUGAAUUCUCUCAGCUUGUGCUUAUCUGUGAAGGUUUUGAUUUCUCCUUCAAAUCUGAAGGAGAGCCUUGCUGGGUAAAGUCAUCUUGGUUGGAGGUUUUUUCCUUUCAUCACAUUAAGUAUAUCAUGCCACUCCCUUCUGGCCUGCAGAGUUUCUGUUGAAAAAUCUGCCGAUAACCUUAUCAGGGUUCCCUUGUAUGUUAUUUGUUUCUUUUCCCUAGCUGCUUUCAAGAUUUUCUCUUUGUCUUUAAUUUUGGUCAGUUUGAUUAGUAUGUGUCUCGGGGUGUUCCUCCUUGGGUUAAUUUUAUAUGGUACUCAUUGUGCUUCCUGGAUUUGAGUGAGUGGUUCUUUUCCCAUGUUAGGGAAGUUUUCAGCUAUUAUCUCUUGGAAUAUUUUUUCUGUCUCCUUCUCUCUCUCUUCUCCUUCUGGCACCCCUAUAAUACGGAUAUUGCUGUGUUUAACAUUGUCCCAGAGAUCUCUGAGACUCUCUUCAUUUGUUUUCAAUCUUUUUUCUCUUUUCUGUUCCAUAUCCAUAAUUUCCACUAAUCUGUCCUCCACCUCACUUUUUCGUUUUCCUGCCUCCUGUAUUCUGCUGUUGGUUGCUUCUAGUGAAUUUUUUAUUUCAGUUAUUUUGUUUUGCAUCUCUUCUUGUUUAAGUUUGAUAUCUUGUAUCUCUUUGGUCAGUGUUUCCUGUAAGUUAUCCAUCUUUGCCUCCAGUUGAUUCCCAAUGUCUUGCAUCAUCUUCAGCAUCCAAAGUCUAAAGUCUUUUUCCUGGAGGCUGAGAAUCUCCUUAUGGCUUAGCUGAUUUUCUAGGGUUUUUCCUUUAUCCCUCCUCUAAGUUAUAUUUCUCUGUCUUUUCAUGUUUAUAGGUUUUUGGUGUGGUGACCUUCUUACAGAUAAAAGGGUUGUAGCCUCUCUUACUUCUGGUGUCUGCCCCCCUUGUGGCUGAAGCCAGUAUGGGGGCUUGGUGUAGGCUUCCUGAUAGGAGGGGCUGAUGCCUGCCCCCUGGUAGGAGGAGCCGAUUCUAAUCCCUCUGGUGGCUGUGUGCCUGAGGGGUCUUUAGGUAGCCUGUUUACUGAGGGGUGGGGCUGUGAUCCCACCUGGGUUGUUGUUUGCCCUGGGGCUUCUCAGCAGCUGGCUGACAGGUGGGGCCAGAUUUUCCCAAAAUGGCCACCUCCAGAGAAAGGCACUGCUGCUGAAUAUUCCCGAGAGCUUUGCCUUCAAUGUCC